GCCCGGAUAGCUCAGUUGGUAGAGCAACGGAUUGAAAAUCCGUGUGUCGGCGGUUCAAGUCCGUCUCCGGGCACCA
rnacentral:tRNA from 1 species